GUGCCUAAUACAUGCAAGUAGAACGCUGAAGACUUUAGCUUGCUAAAGUUGGAAGAGUUGCGAACGGGUGAGUAACGCGUAGGUAACCUGCCUACUAGCGGGGGAUAACUAUUGGAAACGAUAGCUAAUACCGCAUAACAGCAUUUAACUCAUGUUAGAUGCUUGAAAGGAGCAAUUGCUUCACUAGUAGAUGGACCUGCGUUGUAUUAGCUAGUUGGUGAGGUAACGGCUCACCAAGGCGACGAUACAUAGCCGACCUGAGAGGGUGAUCGGCCACACUGGGACUGAGACACGGCCCAGACUCCUACGGGAGGCAGCAGUAGGGAAUCUUCGGCAAUGGGGGCAACCCUGACCGAGCAACGCCGCGUGAGUGAAGAAGGUUUUCGGAUCGUAAAGCUCUGUUGUAAGAGAAGAACGUGUGUGAGAGUGGAAAGUUCACACAGUGACGGUAACUUACCAGAAAGGGACGGCUAACUACGUGCCAGCAGCCGCGGUAAUACGUAGGUCCCUAGCGUNGUCCGGAUUAAUUGGGCGUAAAGCGAGCGCAGGCGGUUUAAUAAGUCUGAAGUUAAAGGCAGUUGGCUUAACCAUGGUUCGCUUUGGAAACUGUAAGACU
rnacentral:rRNA from 1 species